GGAAGAGAUUGUGAAGUUAGGGAGAGAACCCUGAUCUCCUUAUUACAUAAUAUCAGAAGCUGGGCUACUGACCAAACAUGACUUUGAGAGUUACCCAGCCCAAGGAAGGCGAUCUUAUUAACAAAACUUAAUUGGUAUAAUUUUCCAUUUCAAGUGACAUUCACCACGCCUAUAUUUUUAGCCGUUCAUUUGCCUUCUUCUUGUUCAGGC
rnacentral:misc_RNA from 1 species